ACCAUGAAUGAAGACAAAACACCUUCUGAAGCAGAGUUAUUAAGAGACAACACCAAGAUCUCCUAACAAUCUGGCAACGAAUUCAAAAGUAAUAAUGGCUGCAUUUCAUCAUCUAUAGUUAAUUUCUUAAUACUCAAUUGAUUUACCAAAUCUUUGAAUUCACUCAGAUGUUCCGUUAUUGACUAUCCAACUUGCAACUUCAUAUUCAUCAACUUUCUAAUAACAAAAUAUUUAUUUUGAGCAUUU
rnacentral:lncRNA from 1 species